rnacentral:rRNA from 1 species
UUCUGAACGGUGGAUCACUUGGCUCGUAGAUCGAUGACGAACGAUGUGAGAUUCGAUAGCGAGCGUGAAUUGCAAACUCACUGAACGUUGAUGUUUUGAACGCACAUGGCAGCGUCGAAGUUACUUGUCGACGCUACGUCUGGCUGAGGGUC